UGGUUGCUGUCGUGGGGAGAUGUGUGU
rnacentral:piRNA from 1 species